rnacentral:lncRNA from 1 species
GUUAUGUAAAUUUUGUCAGCCUAUUGUAAAGACUGGUAUGUUCAGUGGCUCUUCCUGGCUAGAACUCGUCUCUGCCCGCCAGCUCACUGUACAGCCAUCUCAGAGGAUGAGAUGUUUGGAUGGCAUCACUGACUCAAAGGACAUGAGCUUGAGCAGGCUCCAGAAGAUGGUGAAGGACAGGGAAGCUUGGCGGGCUGCAGUCCAGGGGGUCACAAAGAGUUGGACACGACUGAACGACUGAAAAUCAAGCCCACUCUUCUAUGAAUCUUCCCAGACCUCUUCGGCUCCCAUUCAUUUCCUUUUCUUGGGAACUCCACAACACUCACAAAUGAAAACAGCUCCAUCAAUAUCUUCUUCCUACCUCAAGAUGACUGAUUAGAAGUUAAUGCUUGCAUAUGGGUGUAUACAAAGGCCACUGACUUUGAGGGCCCCUAGCUGUCAAGAGGCUUCUCCAGGAAGACAAAGCAAGCCUGUGCAAGGCCAAGGUCAGCACAUAAACAUUUGGCAUUCUCAGGAUGCUCUGGUAACGCAACACAAUCUGAGCUGGAUUUGCUAUAUCUCUUUCUACUUUAUCCUUGUCUUCAAAAGUCUCAAAUCAAAACGACACAGCCAAGAAGGAAAAAAUGCUGAUAGUGGGCUUCAGAUGGUUGUAAUUACAGAGACAUCAUUCAGCCGUUUCUAACUUUUUGCAACCCCGUGGACCGUGGCCCACCAGGCUCUUCUGCUCAUGGGACUUCCCAGGCAAAAAUACUGGAAUGGGUUGCCAUUUCCUUCUCCAGGGGAUCUUCCUGACCCAGGGAUUGAACCCAUGUCUCCUACAUUGCAGGCAGAUUCUUUACCAUCCGAGCCACCAGGAAAACCAGAACCAACUAACAUCUUCUUUUUUCAUCUAUUGUGACAGAUUCCAAGAGAAACCAAAAAUGACUCCAAGUUAAAGGCAAGGUUUUUAAUGAAAUAUGAAAGUAGCUGAGAUAAAUCAUGUCAAACAAGAAAGCUAAAAGUCAAUGUAGGAAAGUUUUUUAAGCCUAUGAAGAGAAUUAACCAGACUUUAGGGACUAAGUGAAAAGAAAAUGUAUCAGUAAAAUAAUCAAAAGUGAAAGGACGCAUUUAUUUAGAGAGGUUUUGGGGAGAGACUAUUGGAUUUCUAUCUUUGGUGAUAUAUUGAUACAUAGAUUGAAUACAACCUCAGAAUAGCUAGCGAUCUUGAAAGAGAAGAGCAAAGUUGGAGGACUCACAUCCCCCAGUUUCAAAAUUUACUACAAGCCUACAGUAAUCAAGGCAGUGUGGUACUGGCAUAAGGACAGACUUAUAAAUCAAUGGAAGAGAACUGCAAGCCCAGAAAUAAAUCCUUAUAUUUACACCA